rnacentral:rRNA from 1 species
UUUAUGGAGAGUUUGAUCCUGGCUCAGGAUGAACGCUGGCGGCGUGCCUAAUACAUGCAAGUCGAGCGAACAGAUAAGGAGCUUGCUCCUUUGACGUUAGCGGCGGACGGGUGAGUAACACGUGGGUAACCUACCUAUAAGACUGGAAUAACUCCGGGAAACCGGGGCUAAUGCCGGAUAACAUGUUGAACCGCAUGGUUCUACAGUGAAAGACGGUCUUGCUGUCACUUAUAGAUGGACCCGCGCCGUAUUAGCUAGUUGGUGGGGUAACGGCCUACCAAGGCGACGAUACGUAGCCGACCUGAGAGGGUGAUCGGCCACACUGGAACUGAGACACGGUCCAGACUCCUACGGGAGGCAGCAGUAGGGAAUCUUCCGCAAUGGGCGAAAGCCUGACGGAGCAACGCCGCGUGAGUGAUGAAGGUCUUCGGAUCGUAAAGCUCUGUUGUUAGGGAAGAACAAAUGUGUAAGUAACUGUGCACAUCUUGACGGUACCUAACCAGAAAGCCACGGCUAACUACGUGCCAGCAGCCGCGGUAAUACGUAGGUGGCAAGCGUUAUCCGGAAUUAUUGGGCGUAAAGCGCGCGUAGGCGGUUUUUUAAGUCUGAUGUGAAAGCCCACGGCUCAACCGUGGAGGGUCAUUGGAAACUGGAAAACUUGAGUGCAGAAGAGGAAAGUGGAAUUCCAUGUGUAGCGGUGAAAUGCGCAGAGAUAUGGAGGAACACCAGUGGCGAAGGCGGCUUUCUGGUCUGCAACUGACGCUGAUGUGCGAAAGCGUGGGGAUCAAACAGGAUUAGAUACCCUGGUAGUCCACGCCGUAAACGAUGAGUGCUAAGUGUUAGGGGGUUUCCGCCCCUUAGUGCUGCAGCUAACGCAUUAAGCACUCCGCCUGGGGAGUACGGUCGCAAGACUGAAACUCAAAGGAAUUGACGGGGACCCGCACAAGCGGUGGAGCAUGUGGUUUAAUUCGAAGCAACGCGAAGAACCUUACCAAAUCUUGACAUCCUUUGACCGCUCUAGAGAUAGAGUUUUCCUCUUCGGAGGACAAAGUGACAGGUGGUGCAUGGUUGUCGUCAGCUCGUGUCGUGAGAUGUUGGGUUAAGUCCCGCAACGAGCGCAACCCUUGAACUUAGUUGCCAUCAUUCAGUUGGGCACUCUAAGUUGACUGCCGGUGACAAACCGGAGGAAGGUGGGGAUGACGUCAAAUCAUCAUGCCCUUAUGAUUUGGGCUACACACGUGCUACAAUGGACAAUACAAAGGGCAGCGAAACCGCGAGGUCAAGCAAAUCCCAUAAAGUUGUUCUCAGUUCGGAUUGUAGUCUGCAACUCGACUACAUGAAGCUGGAAUCGCUAGUAAUCGUAGAUCAGCAUGCUACGGUGAAUACGUUCCCGGGUCUUGUACACACCGCCCGUCACACCACGAGAGUUUGUAACACCCGAAGCCGGUGGAGUAACCAUUUUGGAGCUAGCCGUCGAAGGUGGGACAAAUGAUUGGGGUGAAGUCGUAACAAGGUAGCCGUAUCGGAAGGUGCGGCUGGAUCACCUCCUUUCU